CUUUCAGGAUUCCUGGGCUGGGGACAGGGAGAGGAAGAAGAGAAAGAUCCGCCAUGCUGGAAAAAGGAGAACUAAGAUGCCACACCCGAGAAGCUCAGGACAGAGAACAUAGCCGCCAUAUUGGAGGGACUCCAUCCAAUAAAGGCAAAUAAAGAGAGCCUGAAAGUAUAGCUUGGCACCUACGCAGCAAGCCACUCCUGUCUACAGUGCUCAUGAACCUUCCAGAAUCAUGGAGAAGACCUGCCGUGCAUGGCCCUUAUUGCAAACUGAAAGUGUUUCGAGGCCCAAGGUGGAAAGAAAAAAAAAAGAAGAAAGCAAACCUGGGAAACACAGAAUUCAUUCAGCCCCUUGUAGUCCCGCACUUUGGUCACAGAGGAAACAUCCCCUGACAGCCUGGUGUUCGAAUCUAAUGUGGUCAAAGCAAACUAUGGAGCCGGACCUAUGCAAAUCUCUACAGAAACUCGAGGUUUGCUUCUGCCACAUCUGGGUCUCCCGAGGUCGGAGAGGAUCGUCUUUAAUAUUCCUUGGUAGAUUCCAGGAGCAGCCCCCAUCCAUGGUUUGGAGGACUCGACCCUAUGGAGCGCCCUGGCCUGGAGGUGUGCAGGUUAGAAGGAACCCCAGCUGUGGCACCUCACUAUCCUUCUCUUUCCCGACCCGUUCAAAAAUAAAAAAAUAAACCCCAAU
rnacentral:lncRNA from 1 species